AUAUCGGUUUCACCUAUAUAAACAGCCCAAGAAAUCAAGCAAGAGCAUUCAUCGGAGGAAAAAAAUAGAUUCCAUUUCAGAGGCAGCAACCAAGGCCCGAGGAUCUCCUUCCCGUCCCAGUCAGAUCGAUCGCGGGAGGAAGAGGGGCAGCAGCGGAGGAGAUGGGGGAGAUGAACUGGGUGAGCAGGAAGAUCCAUCUCUACAACGUCACCAUGGGCCUCUACAUGCUCGAUUGGUGGGAGCGCUGCCUCUUCAACAUAAUGGUGCUGAUUCUGCUCUGGUUCAUCUGCUUCAAUGGCUCUCGCUUUGCCAGUGACGUCUUCGAGAGUCAUCUGAAGGCUCGGAUUAUGCCCGGUGGAAACUAUGGCAUGGGUGUAGGCAUGCCAUCAACCUAAGUCUGCAUUGACAAGUAAAAAUAAGGAGGAAGGUUAUGAAAUUAUGGAAGUGGCUUUGAUAACUUAGAACUGUAUUUUUGUGUAUGAAAUAGUUCCAAAAUGAAAUCUGCUCAUGAUUAAUUUGUUCUUCCUGCAUUGUGUGUAAUUCUUCGUUAAAUUUUGUUUAUGAGCAUAAUGAUCACCUUUUCCCCAUCAAUUACUGUGUGAUCUGCCCUUUUGUGCAAAGUGAGUUCUCUCGUCUCCAAUAUCACAAUCGGAACAUUCACUUAAAAACAUAGAACAGGAUCUUGUAAACCACGCACCCAUUUCUAUCUGCACUGAUUCCUCAAAGUUGUCAACCUAUCAUUAUUUAUCUCUCAUUGUUCUUGUGUUACUGGUUUAUUUUGCUAAAUACUAUUGUUCUGUUAGAUUUCACUGUCAUCGUCAAGUCCAUGUCGACUUGGUUUGAUAAUGCAAUACAAGGCACGAAGGAGUGGAGCAGUUGUUCAGCUUCAUGCGUAUAAUGUUUAUCGAUCAGGUGGAUAUAUAAAUGGACAGUUGGACAGCGGGACAUGGACCGAAGCAUUUUUGUUUGAAUUUAUAUCAACCACCAGCUUAUAACCCCACAUUCAUUUACACAUGUGAGUGUAUAUAUAUCAGUGUUUGUAUCCA